UCGGGCGUGGUGUACGGUGCACAGCGGGUUUGCCUUGUGAACUGGACGUCCAAAGAAAGAUUAGCCCGCAGGCCGGGGUUCGAUUCCCCGCGCCCGAA